rnacentral:rRNA from 1 species
UACGUAGGGUGCAAGCGUUUAAUCGGAAUUACUGGGCGUAAAGCGUGCGCAGGCGGUUGUGCAAGACAGGUGUGAAAUCCCCGGCUUAACCUGGGAAUGGCAUUUGUGACUGCACGGCUAGAGUGUGUCAGAGGGGGGUAGAAUUCCACGUGUAGCAGUGAAAUGCGUAGAUAUGUGGAGGAAUACCGAUGGCGAAGGCAGCCCCUGGGAUAACACUGACGCUCAUGCACGAA